CAAUGGUGUCUUCAUGUAUUUAUUUUAAUGCCUGAAAAAUGUUUGGUACAAAUAAUACUUUUGAACUCAAUGAAUCCUUACCAAAAUCAUAAUUUUGACAUAUAUUGCAAUAAAUUAUGAAUAGAAAACAGACACUCAUGCAUGAGCAAAGUUUUUGUUUGUAAUGAGCACAAGAUCAAUUGCUUACAGACUCCUGUCACAGCACACUCAUUCUGUGAAAAAUGACAUCCAACUUGAAGUCAUCAAAUGUAACUAUGAACAAUGUCAAUUUUACACCAUUAACAUUUCAAUUCUAUAGAACUAAAAACUAAUUCUUUUGAACUGAACUUUGAGUGAUGCAAAGGUUACAAAGCCUCAAUUUAUAAAGACCUUUUAUUUAUAUAUAUUAUAACAUCAAGAGUCAUUCACUUUACAUAAGUGUGUCAAAACUGAAAACAUAAGACUGUUAUAGUUCUUUGGAUUCUCUGAGUAAAAAUAAAUUAUGCAAGUGAAUACCAUUCUUACAACGAGAAUA